rnacentral:rRNA from 1 species
CCUACGGGAGGCAGCAGUGGGGAAUAUUGCACAAUGGGGGAAACCCUGAUGCAGCAACGCCGCGUGAGUGAGGAAGUAUUUCGGUAUGUAAAGCUCUAUCAGCAGGGAAUAGAAAAGAAGGUACCUGAAAAAGAAGCCCCGGCGAACUACGUGCCAGCAGCCGCGGUAAGACGUGGGGGGCGAGCGUUAUCCGGAGUGAUUGGGCGUAAGGGGUGCGUAGGGGGCCUGCUAAGUCUGGUGGGAAAGGUACCGGCCAAACCGGUACAGGCUCUGGAAACUGGCGGGCUAGAGGGCGGGAGAGGGCGGUGGAACUCCAGGUGUAGCGGUAAAAUGCGUAGAUAUAUGGAGGAACACCAGUGGCGAAGGCGGCCGCCUGGCAUGUUACUGACGCUGAGGCACGAAAGCGUGGGGAGCAAAUAGGAUUAGAUACCCCAGUAGUC